rnacentral:rRNA from 1 species
UAGUGAGUUUGAUCCUGGCUCAGAACGAACGCUGGCGGCAGGCCUAACACAUGCAAGUCGAACGGGAUCUUCGGAUCUAGUGGCGGACGGGUGAGUAACGCGUGGGAACGUGCCCUUUGGUUCGGAAUAGCCCGUGGGAAACUGGGGGUAAUACCGUAUGUGCCCUGAGGGGGAAAGAUUUAUCGGCAAGGGAUCGGCCCGCGUCUGAUUAGGUAGUUGGUGUGGUAAUGGCGCACCAAGCCGACGAUCGGUAGCUGGUUUGAGAGGAUGAUCAGCAACGACUGGGACUGAGACACGGUCCAGACUCCGUACGGGAGGCAGCGA